rnacentral:tRNA from 1 species
GCGGCGGUGCUGGAACCGGUAGACAGGGCAGGCUCAAACCCUGCUGUCCGCAAGGACGUGUGGGUUCGACUCCCACCCGCCGCA